UAACCUUUAAUGGCUUUAUAAAUCUCGUAUUUUUCACCGUCUCAUGGGACCCUUCAGAAUCAUGUUCAUCGCUCGAAUAACCGGGAAAUUCAUCCCGUCACGUGCCUUGUUGGGAUUCUCCGCUCUGUGCUCAGGUAUUUCCGGCAAAUUCAGCAAUGUGCAGUCAAUUUUUGCUGAUAAUCAAAAACGACAAAUAUUUCCUUUAUAACGGAUUUCAGAUUUGAAUUCAGCAUAAAAAAAAAAAACUAUAAUAUAAGCAAAAGGUGCUUUGAAGAAUUUCCAUACACUUUAUAGUGGCACUAAGCAGGCCCAAAAAAUUUGGGGGGAGGGGGGUUAUGAUGCUCCCAAACCGUUUUAAGGUUAAUGUUAUGUUGCCUCUGUUGGAAGGAGGCUCUUUGGGGUCCUUCUGCGUGUUCAUCCAAUUCCAGGUUCACUCAAUAACUGGACUCCAGAGGUGUGAAAUGUGUGCGUGAGUGUGCGUGCGUGUGUGUGUCUGUGUGUGUGGUUACCCAAAUGUUCAAAAUGAAGUGAGGAAAAUAAGUAUUUCAACACACUGCUAUAUUGCAAGUUCUCCGACUUAGAAAUCAUGGAGGGGUCUGAAAUUUUCAUUAUAGGUGCAUGUCCACUGUAAGAGAGAUAAUCUACAAAGAAAAAUCCAGAAAUCACAAUGUAUGAAUUUUUAAUGAUUUAUUUGUGUAAUACAGCUGCAAAUAAGUAUUUGAACACCUGUCCAUCCGCUAGAAUUCUGACCCUCAAAGACCUGUUAGUCCGCCUUUAAAAGUCUACCUCCACUCCAUGUAUUAUCCUGAAUCAGAUGCACCUGUGUGAGGUCGUAAGCUGCAUAAAGACACCUGUCCACCCCAUACAUUCAGCAACACUCGAACUUGUAACGUGGCCAAGACCAAAGAGCUGUGCAAAGACACCAAAGACAAAAUUGUACAACUCCACAUGGCUGGAAAAGGGCUACGGAAAAUUGCCAAGCAGCUUGGUGAAAAAAGGUCCACUGUUGGAGCAAUCAUCAUAAAAUGGAAAAAGCUAAACACGAUGGUCAAUCUCAAUCGGAGUGGAGCUCCAUGCAAGAUAUCACCUCGUGGGGUCUCAAUGAUCCUUAGAAAGGUGAGGAAACAGCCCAGGACUACACGACAGGACUUGGUCAAUGACCUGAAAAGAACUGGGACCAACAUUUCCAAGGUGACUGACUCUUGGUUUGACCUCUGUAAUUGCAAACAAAGGCUACUGUACCAAAUAACAUUGGUUUUCUCAGAUGUUAAAAUACUUAUUUGCAGCUGUAUCACACAAAUAAAUCAUUAAAAAAAUCAUACUUUGUGAUUUCUGGAUUUUUCUUUUUAGAUUAUCUCUCACAGUGGACAUGCACCUACGAUGAAAAUUUCAGAUGCCUCCAUGAUUUCUAAGUGGUAGAACUUGCAAUAUAGCAGGGUGUUCAAAUACUUAUUUUCUUCACUGUACAUGACCAACUUGAACAAAGUGGUGUUUAUAAACUCAAGCAAGCUGUAUUUUCUUAUUUUAUUUCCUGAAAGGUUUUAAUUUUGAAGGUCAGGAUUCCACCUGACAGCUACAAUGCAUAAAAAUAUGAUGAAUUACUGCCACUUCAGAGAAUGGUACAUUAGUUUUCCCGCUGUUGAGUGAUACUUUGCGAGGACCUGACUCCACAAAUGUGUCUCUUUGUUGGCGGUGAGCUAAGCUAAACCGCACUAGCAGUCCUAAAACCCUUCGACGUGCACCUAGACACCAAGACUGAAGGAAGGAUGUUUGAGGACAUUGAAGUAGUGAUUGUCGUACUCGGUCGGGACUUACGUAGGUUCGGCACCAAUUCAAGAAUAAUUAUUGAGGGGAGCGCGUGACGUUACACAAAGAAAACAAGAGAAACAACUCAUAAAUUAAGCCUCGCCUUCUUUUCCUUCAUACGGUGGUUCACAAACGGCUAUACAGAUACAUAUACAGAUUCUGCACACAAGUGUGAUAGGUAACACGAAAAUAGGAAACUGUCAAUGUCGAAUUCGUCUUUGGGUUAUAAUAUAUUAUAUUAUGUGGCUUCUCGGUCUUGCUCUGACUCCGGAAAGAUCUCGCGCUAAUAUCAAUGGUUUCUCCGUCGAUAUGCAUGUAAAUACCAUUGAAAUACCCCUCGCUGAAAUACUUGAAUCCCUGCUGUCUGCUUUUGAACGACAUUUCACUGUUAGCUAAGAAUGCGAGUGAAAAAUCAGCUGGUAAAUCGGACAGUUUCGCUCUAGUCUUUUCUUCCUGCGCUGCCAUUUUUACUAAUUGUUUGUCUGAGGUUAGCACACGUGGGGUGACGUAACUUCAGGAGCCGUGGUUAAGUGCCCUGUACGGAGGGGUCAAUUGUUCAAAGGGAGCAGUUUAAAGUGAUCGAGUUGUGCGAUAGUCUACACUCUACAGAAUAUAAUACUGAUUCACCAGCAGGAUAUGAGGGUGUGUCUGAACAACGGGCAGAAAAUAGUAGUUCGCUGAUCAAUAAUUUAAAGGCUUAAUUGCCGGAAGGAAAAAACAGUUUGAAUCCUUGCUUUUUUUUUUUACUUUCAUUGAUAAGUAGCGCCUACCAAAAGGAAGGAGCUGGAAGAGCAGGUGGCCAGGAUGUGGAGGGUUCAAAAUGAUCCUGUCUGCUCUGGACCUAGUUUGAGUUGUGUCUUCAAUAGAGCUUGUGCACGUAAAGUCACAGUUUGCACGGUGCCAUAUUGCCGGUCAAACUUAGCUGCUCUGCACUCUGGGAGCCAUUGAACCAGAGCAGAUUUUUCAAAUUGCCCGAGACCUAUUGUGCUGUUGGUUGUCACAAUAGACGAGACAAUUCUUCAAAAAGAUAAUUCUUUGGAAUACCAGUUAAUAAGACAAGAAAAGAUUGAUGGAUUUCAGCAAUUAAUGGUGCCCAACCAAAUACACACGCCUGUGUAGCGAUCAUUUCAUUUCAGGUAGGAAUUAUUCUUCUCAAUCUCAAAUUAUCAAGAAGUAUAUAUCACACCAAAGUGACUCAUUUGAGAACAAUACAUAUUUAAAAAAAAACUGUCACAGAGGUUUACGGAGGUUAACGUGUGGGCACAAUACCCUUCCGUGUACGGAGGAGACGACUCCCUUUCCUAUUUUUUUUUCCCUAAUCAUAGUUAAUGAAUGCGAGUUUGUGUAAAACCAGUGCUCAUUCAUCUAAAUAUUGGUGUUUGUAUUGAAAAAAUCGGAGUGAGUCCAUCACGAUGUGGGAUUCAUUCCUGAUUGAGAACAGAUCCAGCAACGAAGUAUUUGUAUGUAUUUGUACGCUUUUGAACUUUUCUGUGUAAAUCUCAAUGAUUUACUCACCAGAUACCUGUGUAGAUCCAGUUGUCUAAGACAAGCAGAAGCGAAUUAACAGUCCAAUUUCUUAUCGGCGAAAACGUCGACUUCAGCAUUAAAUAUGGGUCCUCUAUGCCAAGUGUCUCCAAUUUUUCCAUGUACCUUUGUUUAUUAUCACCUUCUAAAUAUUGAACGGUAUCGGACAAAACUCUAGGUGUCACGCUGUAAGACAUAUUUUCAUUACGAAAUUAACUGGCAACAAUGCUUUGUUUGACCGGCAAUAUGGCGAGUCACAUGACUUUAUGAUGUAGGUCCACGAGCUCUUUAGUGGGUAAAGUGGUGCCGACAAUCCAUUCAGUGGUUUUGAUUGUCUGUUGCAGUAAGAGUUUGUCCUUUUUUGUGGCAGCCCAGAACCAGACUGUGAUGGAGGUAUUCAGUACUGAUUGGAUGACCGCUGUGUAAAACUAUCUCAGCAGCUUUUAUGACAGGCCCUGCUUCCUCAGAUCCCACAAGAAGUAUAUCCUUUGCUGGGCUUUUUUUUUCCGAGUUGAUGUUCGUCUCCCACUUCAGGUCCCGUGAAACUGUAAUUCCCAAGAACUUGAAGGUCUCGGCGGUUGACACGAGACAAUUGGGAAGAAUUAGGGGCAGAUGUGGUGAACGAUGCCUCCUGAAGUCUACAAUCAUCUCUAUAGUCUUAAGAGUGUUCAAUGUCAGGUUGUAUUGGCCACACCAAGGCUCCAGUCUUGCCACUUCUGUCGAUAUGCAGACUCGUUGCCAUCUUUGAAGAGGCCGAUGACUGUCAUGUCAUUUGCGAACGCCAGGAGUUUGACAGUCAGGUGCCUCGAAGUGCAGUCGUUUGUGUAGAGCGAGAAGAUCAGAGGGGAGAGGACACAGCCUUGGGGUGCCCCGGUGCUGAUGUGGCACAUGGUGUUUGGACAUUAAUACCAUGAACAGUUUAUUAUUAUUUUUGGCCCACCCAAUACACAACACACACAUUUUUUAAAAAUACUUGAUCCCUCAAAUUUAACUACUGGACAUGUAUCACAUUUGCUUCGUUUAAGUGUGUUUGUUCUUAUAGUAACAGCAAUUCGCCAGCGGAGGGUGCUGUAUUGCAGCCGCCGGCCAAUGCCACCUAGCUCAUUCACAGAAGAAGCUGCAGUACAUUGAAACGUAUUGCGUGUGGGAACUGUUAGUGGAUGCUAUUUAUGUGCUGUGAGCUAAAUGUGUAUUCUGUGCUGUUUCCAGGUGUUCUUGUGACAUGUGCCAGCCCAUGUUGACAUUGGCCCAGUGUGUGCUAUCAGGAACAGGAAAAGGUGUGCUGCAAAAACGAAAAGGAUCCAACAGCCACCUGUGUCACCCACCACCUAUGUUUCAAGGCUGUUUGCUCAAACGAGGAUGUCCUGGAGACAGUCUACAGUGCCUGCAGGCAACAGUACCAACAUGACAUCGGCAAUGAAAUGGAAACGGUACAGAGCAUACAAUUUGUGAGACAGUUCUAUGGAUUUCUCGGCUGACAUAUGGGUGUCCCACUUCAUUCAUGUGCUGUUUAUAAGAUUAGAGGGAAGUUUUUCCCACCAGACAAUUUGGGAUUUCAUGAGAGUGAUGAUGGAAACUAA